GACGUAGGGCGCGAGCGUUGUCCGGAAUCAUUGGGCGUAAAGCGCGUGUAGGCGGCCCGGUAAGUCCGCUGUGAAAGUCCAGGGCUCAACCCUGGGAUGCCGGUGGAUACUGUCGGACUAGAGUGCGGAAGAGGCGAGUGGAAUUCCUGGUGUAGCGGUGAAAUGCGCAGAUAUCAGGAGGAACACCAAUUGCGAAGGCAGCUCGCUGGGACGUUACUGACGCUGAGACGCGAAAGCGUGGGGAGCAAACAGG
rnacentral:rRNA from 1 species